UAGAAGUCACAACUAUUUGAGGUCGGGAAAUAGAAUUUUGGUGUUAAUGCAUGUUAGAGACAUAGUAUAAUGGACUAUGCUCAUGAAACAUAUCACACACAAAAAGAAUAUGCAAAAUAGGUGACCUAAUCUCAUCCAUACUUACGUUGAUUUUCAAUCAACUAGCCUUAGAACAUUGAGAUAUCAUAGGACCAUGACAUGAAUGCAUAAAGAAGGGUAAGAGGGAGGGGAAAUGGAU
rnacentral:lncRNA from 1 species